UAGUUUAUAAAUGUUAUUAAGUAACGUCCUGCCAAACCCGUCCUGUAAAAAAAAACCCAUUUAUUUUAUUAAUGUUGAUCUUAUUUAUGAUAUGUUUAUGAAUCAUUGUCUAAAUAUUUUGUAAUUUUGUAGUAAUUAAAUGCUAUCAGAUUAUAUCUCUGCGCUUUGAUGAUUAUAAUCGAAUUGUUAUAGUUAUGGAGAAAAGCAAUAUCAAAAAUGAUAAUUUUGUAGUAAUUAAAUGAUAUUAAAUAUUUUGGAAGU
rnacentral:sRNA from 1 species